GCCAGCGUGGCAUAGUGGUUUGAGUGUUGGACUAUGACUCUGCAGACUAGGGUUUGAUUCCCAGGUUGGCC